UACGGAGGGGGCUAGCGUUGUUCGGAAUUACUGGGCGUAAAGCGCACGUAGGCGGCUUUGUAAGUUAGAGGUGAAAGCCCGGAGCUCAACUCCGGAAUUGCCUCUAAGACUGCAUCGCUAGAAUUGUGGAGAGGUAAGUGGAAUUCCGAGUGUAGAGGUGAAAUUCGUAGAUAUUCGGAAGAACACCAGUGGCGAAGGCGACUUACUGGACACAUAUUGACGCUGAGGUGCGAAAGCGUGGGGAGCAAACAGG
rnacentral:rRNA from 1 species